rnacentral:rRNA from 1 species
GGUAGCGCAAUCACUUGUCUUUUAAAUGAAGACCUGUAUGAAUGGCAUCACGAGGGCUUAGCUGUCUCCUCUUUCAAGUCAAUGAAAUUGAUCUGCCCGUGCAGAAGCGGACAUAAGAACAUAAGACGAGAAGACCCUAUGGAGCUUUAGACACCCGGCAGACCCUGUUAAGUAGCUGAACUAUCAGAUUAAAACAAAGCGGCCCCCGGCCUACAUGUCUUCGGUUGGGGCGACCACGGGGGAAAACAAAGCCCCCACGAGGAUUAAGGAAAACCUCCUUAUAACCACGAGCGACAGCUCUAAGUCUCAGAACUUCUGACCAAAAAGAUCCGACACCAGUCGAUCAACGGACCAAGUUACCCUAGGGAUA